AACUACACUUUAAGGGGACCAAAGAGAUACAUAGAUAUCAGAUACCUAUAUACCUGUUUGGUCUCUUUAAAGUGUAGUU
rnacentral:miRNA from 1 species